rnacentral:rRNA from 1 species
GAGUUUGAUCAUGGCUCAGAACGAACGCUGGCGGCGCGUCUUAAGCAUGCAAGUCGAACGGUAAGGGAGAGCUUGCUCUCCCCUAGAGUGGCGGACUGGUGAGUAACGCGUAGGUGACCUACCCUGAAGAUGGGGAUAGCUAGUAGAAAUAUUAGAUAAUACCGAAUAAGCUCAUUUGCAUAAAGGCAGAUGAGGAAAGGAGCUACGGCUCCGCUUUAGGAUGGGCCUGCGUCCCAUUAGCUAAGUUGGUGAGGUAAAGGCUUACCAAGGCAACGAUGGGUAUCCGGCCUGAGAGGGUGAACGGACACAUUGGGACUGAGAUACGGCCCAAACUCCUACGGGAGGCAGCAGCUAAGAAUCUUCCGCAAUGGACGAAAGUCUGACGGAGCGACGCCGUGUGAAUGAAGAAGGCUGAAAAGUUGUAAAAUUCUUUUGCAGAUGAAGAAUAAGGAUAGGAGGGAAUGCCUAUCUGAUGACGGUAAUCAUGCGAAU